rnacentral:rRNA from 1 species
GACGAACGCUGGCGGCGUGCUUAACACAUGCAAGUCGAGCGGUAAGGCUCCUUCGGGAGUACACGAGCGGCGAACGGGUGAGUAACACGUGAGCAAUCUGCCCUUCACACUGGGAUACCC